UCGAGCGAAGCAUUUAAGACAGAUCUCUUCGGAUUAAGUCUUAUCUGAUUGAGCGGCGGACGGGUGAGUAACGCGUGGGUAACCUGCCUCAUACAGGGGGAUAACAGUUAGAAAUGACUGCUAAUACCGCAUAAGCGCACAGGGCUGCAUGGCCCGGUGUGAAAAACUCCGGUGGUAUGAGAUGGACCCGCGUCUGAUUAGCUGGUUGGAGGGGUAACGGCCCACCAAGGCGACGAUCAGUAGCCGGCCUGAGAGGGUGAACGGCCACAUUGGGACUGAGACACGGCCCAGACUCCUACGGGAGGCAGCAGUGGGGAAUAUUGCACAAUGGGGGAAACCCUGAUGCAGCGACGCCGCGUGAAGGAAGAAGUAUCUCGGUAUGUAAACUUCUAUCAGCAGGGAAGAAAAUGACGGUACCUGACUAAGAAGCCCCGGCUAACUACGUGCCAGCAGCCGCGGUAAUACGUAGGGGGCAAGCGUUAUCCGGAUUUACUGGGUGUAAAGGGAGCGUAGACGGAAGAGCAAGUCUGAUGUGAAAGGCUGGGGCUUAACCCCAGGACUGCAUUGGAAACUGUUUUUCUAGAGUGCCGGAGAGGUAAGCGGAAUUCCUAGUGUAGCGGUGAAAUGCGUAGAUAUUAGGAGGAACACCAGUGGCGAAGGCGGCUUACUGGA
rnacentral:rRNA from 1 species